rnacentral:misc_RNA from 1 species
AAUUCUCAACUCCCCUCAGAUUCUGUCUGUAUGGUGAGCUUGGACUUGGAGGUUCUGCCGGUGUUUGCUGGCUCCUCUUGAAAUCAUUAGCUUUGAGUUGAUCUUGAUGGCUUGACCGGUGCGAUAAACAUCUACGCCGAUUCAUGCUGUCCUGAGCGACGUUGUCGGAGACGCUCUGGCUUAUAACCGUCUUCACCAAAGGAGACAACACCCUGAAC